AUGGAAAUUCUUCGUAAUUUUGGCGCAGCCUCGGGGCUGCACAUCAACCCCUCAAAGUCAACGGCCCUACCCAUCAGAUGCGAUAAUAUAGACCUAGGGCACAUACUACAAAAUUUCGGAGGAAUAGUAGGGAACUUCCCAACGACUUAUCUGGGUCUGCCGCUGACGCUAGCCAGGCUGCGACUCGCGAACCUACAGUUCAUCAUAGAUAGGAUCAAAGCCCGCCUUGCGGGAUGGAAAGGGAAGCUGCUUCCAUUGGCUAGUAGACGUGUGCUGGUUCGAUGCGUCCUCAGCGCCAUGCCGACGUUCGCUUUGACCGUCCUUCGAGUGCCAAAGAAGUUACUAAAGGAGAUUGACAAGUGCAGGCGCAGAUUCUUAUGGAAGCAAGAUGAGGAGAUCACAGGUGGUAGCUGCAAGGUCAACUGGAUAGCUGUUUGCGCUCCCACAUCGCACGGAGGACUGGGCGUCCUCGACCUCGAGCGGUUCAGCCGAGCCCUGAGAUUACGGUGGCUCUGGACUUCCUGGACUGACCCGGAGCGAGCAUGGGUUGGUACAGAGCCACCGUGCAGCGCCAUAGACAAAACCCUUUUUAGGGCAGUGACCACGGUCACCAUCGGUGAUGGCGCAACGGCCCUAUUCUGGCACUCAUCCUGGAGCGGCCGCACACCUUAG
rnacentral:rRNA from 1 species